rnacentral:rRNA from 1 species
CCUACGGGUGGCAGCAGUGGGGAAUAUUGGUCAAUGGGCGCGAGCCUGAACCAGCCAAGUAGCGUGAAGGAUGACUGCCCUACGAGCUGUAAACUUCUUUUAUAAGGGAGUAAAGUGAGUCACGUAGUCCUCUUUGUAUUUACUUUAUGUGUAAGGAUCGGCUAACUCCGUGCCAGCAGCCGCGGUGAUACGGAGGAUCCGAGCGUUAUCCGGAUUGAUUGGGGUUAAAGGGAGCGUAGAUGGGUUGUUAAGUCAGUUGUGAAAGUCUGCGGCUCAACCGUAAAAUUGCAAUUGAUACUGGCAGCCUUGAGUACAGUUGAGGUAGGCGGAAUUCGUGGUGUAGCGGUGAAAUGCUUAGAUAUCACGAAGAACACCGAUUGCGAAGGCAGCUUACUAACCUGCAACUGACAUUGAUGCUCGAAAGUGUGGGUAUCAAACAGGAUUAGAUACCCUAGUAGUC